rnacentral:rRNA from 1 species
AUGGGAAGUGGGAGGUGUAAAGAUUACCCCUCUUGCGACAUUGCCUUCAAUGCGGUUAUGCAUCUAAGUCGUGCUCCGACACAUGAGAGAUAUAGCUGCAUCGAGAGUGUUACAAAAGGGCCUUACGAACUGGUGCUAUUGCCCAGUUCUGCACUAGUGGUUUCACAGCAAGAAAGCAAAUGCUGGCAGAGGAGAGUGGCCAAAGCCAAGCUCAGUGGUCGGUGUGAUGUGAUGGCUUCCAUCCCGUACAGUCCCCGCCGUCGGCAGACGGAGUCCUCCGCCUGGCCCGACCUCCCACCGGAGCUCCUGGAGAAGCGCCAACCUCUGCGCGCGCUGCACGGGGAGGAGGUCGGGCACCAGCUGUACAACUGGAAGUGGCGGCGCUUCUAUCUGGUGGAGUCCGAUGGGGAGCUCCUCCUGGUGGCGAAGAAAGUAGUGCAGGGCAUAAGGCGGUGUUCGUGCCGGCCCAAGUAUUCGGUUCAAAUGGAGGUGCGGCGGUUCCUGCCGGCGCGGCGUGAGUGGGAGGCAGCGACGGAGCUUCCCGGCGGGAAGGCGCUGUUUGUGGGGACGGCUGCCUCGGUGGCGGUGUCGUCGUCGGCAUCGCCGGGGAUCCGGAAGAACUGCGUGUACUUGGCGCAGCGGGACGAGGGGAUGCAUGCCAUCGGCGUGUACUCGCUUGGCGACCGGGAGACGACGGUGCUGGGCAUCGCCGGCGGGCACUUGGUCGACAUCGAGCCCGUCUGGACUUCCCCGUGGGUCGCCUGA